UACAGAGGUCCCAAGCGUUGUUCGGAUUCACUGGGCGUAAAGGGUGCGUAGGUGGUGAGGUAAGUCGGAUGUGAAAGCUCCGAGCUCAACUCGGAAAUGGCAUUGGAAACUACCUUGCUCGAGGGUUUGAGGGGGGACUGGAAUACUUGGUGUAGCAGUGAAAUGCGUAGAUAUCAAGUAGAACACCAGUGGCGAAGGCGAGUCCCUGGAAAACUCCUGACACUGAGGCACGAAAGCUAGGGGAGCAAACAGG
rnacentral:rRNA from 2 species